rnacentral:rRNA from 1 species
UACGUAGGUGGCGAGCGUUGUCCGGAUUUAUUGGGCGUAAAGAGCGUGUAGGCGGCUAUACAGGUCCGCUGUGAAAACUCGAGGCUCAACCUCGAGACGUCGGUGGAAACCGUAUGGCUAGAGUCCGGAAGAGGAGAGUGGAAUUCCUGGUGUAGCGGUGAAAUGCGCAGAUAUCAGGAAGAACACCCGUGGCGAAGGCGGCUCUCUGGGACGGUACUGACGCUGAGACGCGAAAGCGUGGGGAGCGAACAGG